rnacentral:tRNA from 1 species
GCCGAAGUGGCGGAAUGGCAGACGCAGCUGACUCAAAAUCUGCCGCCCUUAAAGCGUGCGGGUUCAAGUCCCGCCUUCGGCACCA